GUUCUCACUUUGGCAGCACAUACACUAAAAUUGGAAUGAUACAUAGAAAAUUAGCAUGACCCCUGAGCAAGGAUGACACACAAAUUCAUGAAGCAUUCCAUAAGUUU
ensembl:snRNA U6 U6 spliceosomal RNA